CUUACCAGGUCCAGACACAGUUAGGAUUGACAGAUUGAAAGCUCUUUCUUUAUUCUGUGGGUGGUGGUGCAUGGCCGUUCUUAGUUGGUGGAGUGAUUUGUCUGGUUAAUUCCGAUAACGAACGAGACCUCAGCCUAUUAAUUAAAUAAAAGAAUAUAAGCAAUUAUAAGGGUUAAAUAAAAUUUAAUUCAAUACUUUUAGUGUUGGAUUAUUUUAUUUAAAACUUGUUUAUAUUUAUUUUUAUUUUCUUAAAGGGACACUUGGUGUUUAACCAAGGGAAGUUUGAGGCAAUAACAGGUCUGUGAUGCCCUUUAGAUGUUCUGGGCCGCACGCGCGCUACACUGAUAAAAUCAAUAAGUUUUUUAAUUUAAUUCCUUGACUGAAAAGUUUGGGUAAACUUUGAAAAUUUUAUCGUGCUGGGGAUUGACAAUUGUAAUUAUUUGUCAUGAACGAGGAAUUCCUAGUAAACGUAAGUCAUCAGCUUACGUUGAUUACGUCCCUGCCCUUUGUACACACCGCCCGUC
rnacentral:rRNA from 1 species